rnacentral:rRNA from 1 species
AUGUGAAAGCCCCCGGCUCAACCGGGGAGGGGCAUUGGAAACUGGGAGACGUGAGUGCAGAAGAGGAGAGUGGAAUGCCAUGUGUAGCGGUGAAAUGCGUAGAUAUAUGGGGGAACACCAGUGGCGAAGGCGGCUCUCUGGUCUGUAACUGACGCUGAGGCUCGAAAGCGUGGGGAGCAAACAGG